AUGUAUAAUAUAGCAACCAAUGUGUGCUCUAUCAAAAUUCUGAAAUUUAUAUACAGGAUACAGUUUGCAGUUGCACUUGUGCUUCUGCACUCUGCAUAACUUUGGUCAUCGAUUAACACAAAUUUAUGUUAUCUGGCAGGGGAAUCAAUUGCAGACAGAGGACCAUUAUCGGCAGACGACCACUGCUACGAAGUUCUUAACUGCAUCCACACACACACACACACACACACAUUGGCCGCUGUCCCUCUUCAACAAACUCUCACUUAAAAACUAAUUACGAACAAAGCUGUUGCUGCAAGUCGUUUUGUUCUCCUUGCGGCUAGCAGGACAGGCUGAGGCGGCAGCUAAGUGCGUAGAUUUUUACCAGAACCAGUACCAGUGUGGCUGCCAAUUGACAGAGCAAGAAGAAAGAAAGCAUCCGCCGUCCAACAGGAUUUUCUCAGGCUGCUGGACUCGCUCGGGAGUUCGUCACAUCACCACUGGGGCUUGCCUCAAUACUCGUAUAGCAUCGGGUACAGUUGCUAUAAUUAAUGGCUGUUCCCUCCAUGGUAUCCGAAGUGGCGCCUGCAUUCUGGUCGUUUCCAUGGAAAUGUGUGCACUGGGUCGCAGUAAAAAAGCAUUCACAGGUUAUUUGCUCGGACGACGCGAAUGACCGGGCUCUUCAGCAUAAUAUGCUUGCAGGACGUCUCCGGUCGGAGACUGGAGAUUCACGCUAAACUGUUCCGGCUCCUGUCGUCUUCUGAGUUGGUGCGGUCUUUCUUGCAUCAUGGCUGUUUCUUCGGAAUUGAGAAGGCUGAGGGAGCACUAAGUGCGUAGAUUUUUGCCAGAACCAGUACCAGUGUGGCUGCCAAGAUAGUCCCCUCCUCCCGUGAUUACUAGAAAAUUAAAACUGCAUUAAAACUUCUGCAGUUGACAGAGCAAGAGGAAAGAAAGCAAA